GAAAGCAAGCAAAAGCAACAGCAAGUAGAGUAGAUAGAUAACAGCAGUAUUCGAGUAUCUUAGGCUUGGCGUUGUUCUGAUUGUGUUGUAGUGAUUUUCACCUACACAGCCCAACAAAACAAUCAGCUGUCUCGGCUGUAGGUAAAGGUAGGAACUGUGGUACAAGCUUUAGUGAGGAAUAGAUUUGGCCGUCGAAGUUUGUAUUUGAGGUUUUGUUGUUAUUUUAUUUUGUGAAUGAAUGUUAAUGGAGUGUGAGCUACGGUAUUUUGUUGCUGUAAAGGAGUAUUAUACCAGAAUACAUGUAAUCUAUAACUUUUUUUAAACUAACUUAGCUCGUACACCAACUAAGUUCGUUACUGGUGCUUUUGAAAGGUGAUGUUAUCAUUCAUUCAACUUUAUAGAUUACAAGUGUUAGGAAGCAUAUAUUAUAAAAGUGUUUGUAAAACAUUAAAUUAGUUGUUUAAAUUUUAAAAUUUGUUCUCAAGAUAUGCCUCUGGCUGGAUUAGCUGACCCGGUUGAUCCAUGGCAACGUAUUCAAGUGAAAGAAGAAGUCGAGUGGCCGGUGUGUCCAAGUCUAUUUCGGGACUACGGCUAUUCUCUGUAAGCUGUUCUGUGUCGAUUGCCUUGGGGUCGUAUGUAAGUAGUUCUUGCCUUUCUUGCAGUUAAAUCUAGUGCUAUAAGCCGUGGUGGUGUGUGCUUCUCUUAUAUUGGUGUUCUAUGGUCUAAAUUCCUAUAAACUGUAGAAUGAAUGUGUGUUUAUAUUUUCUUAAUUAUUUAAUUGACAAAUUAAGUAAAAUAAAAACUAAAAAGUCUUUUAUAAAGUUUGCCCUAAAUGCUUAAAUCAUCUGUUCUUAACUUGUAUAUCUUAAGCAUUAGCUGUAGGCAAGCCAGCAGUACUUUUAGAACCACUACAGUGCGGUCAAUGAACAACAACUAGUUUUAGUUCCUCGUUGAACAGAGGAUUUCCCCAGGAUCUACAUAAAUUUCUCCAACAUCCCUAAUAUGAUAGGUGAAAAACUAAAUAUAUAAAACCAUCAAUCUAAAAUACUGUCAGGGCAGCAUUUUGGAAUGAAUAUUACACAGAGCCUUGGAUCUUUGAUUUCGUAUUUUAGGCAUCUUGUGUGGCAAAUUUGCUCCGUAGAGAUAAUGGAUGGCAUGGUUGAAACCUCGUAUGUUGGCCUGAAAUUCCCCCAUUCAACCUAAACCUAAAACGAAGAGAUUUCUUCCUACCACCAUUGUAAAACGUUCUGGUUCAAACCUAUUCAAAUUAACAAGCCUAAUCAAACCAUCGCUUUUGCCUCAUCGAUGUCUCCUGCAGUUACUGUUACAUCCAGAAUAAUGUCUUUUUCCCUUAACAAUGAAAUUCAUCACUGAAGCUGGAGACAUUCAAAGCUUAACUUUCAAUGGAUUGAGUAUCCAAAUGAGGUCAAUAAUCCCCAAAGAAGCUGAAUACAAUAUAUUUAUAGGUGAUCAUCAGAUCCCGUAUAAGUCAAUAAAUUGCUCUCAGGUCCACUAUUUCUCGGAACGCUGCUAAUGAGAUGUAGCGCAAAUCUAAUAGUGAUGAUGUUCACUAGAUAUAGUAAAUAUUUAAUUUUAUACAUAAAAAAAUAAUCAAUGAUUUUUGUUUUCCAAAUCAGAGUUUCAAACAGUAUUUCUAAACCAAUAUACGAGGUAUGUAAAAUGAGUAAUGAGGCUGGCAAUGUUACGUUUGAUCUGGUAACAAUGAAUUGGCUGGGGUUGGAGGGGUUGUCGAGGAACAUGUAAUCCACCUUCAGUAGUAGUUUGAUCUCGCUCAUGUCAUUUGGUUGUACGUAGCGAUUGUGUUUAGUUUGUGAAACAGUUUUUUGUACUCUGUUCUAAAAAUGAGUGACAUCAAUUUAGAGCAACGUUAUGCUAUCAGGUUUUGUUUCAAAGCGGAAAGCCUUCAAGAACCGUUGAAAAUGUCAACAGAAUCCGGGAUUUUUGAGUUCAUAUUGUCGGUUGACAGUCAGAAUGGUCGGGUAAAAGUUAAAUUUGACUCACACCAACGUUCAUCAAGUUUUGACCAAUGAAUUGGGGAUGAGAAAAAUCUACACAAAAGUAGUUCCAAAAAACCUUUCACAAGACCAGAAGAACAUCUGAAAGGAAAGGUGCCUUGAAUUUUGGAUUCGAUUGAAUAUGACCCCAAUUUUCUGAACCAUUUCAUUUGGUGACGAGUCUUGGGUGUUUGAGUACGAUGCUGAAAUCAAGCCAAGAGCAUGGAGUGGCACACUUCAACUUCUCCAAUUCCCAAAAAAGCAAGGAUGGAAGUCGAAAAUCAAAUGCAUGCUGGUUUGUUUUUUGAUAUUCACGGAAUCGUCCACAAAGAAGCCAUCAAUGCUAAAUGGUCAAUCAACACUCUUGAAAUACUCCGAAAAGGGUCAUUCGUGUAAGACCAAACGCCAAGAACAAGUGGUUGUUGCAUCACGAUAAUGCUCCUUGUCACACAGCAAUUUCCAUAAACAAGUUUUUUGCCAACAAAAACGUUCCUGUGACUCCUCGACCUCCUUAUUCGCCUGUCUUGAGUCCUUCUGACUUUUUUCUCUUCCCGAAGUUGAAAUGAAUUGAAUAUUUAGAUACGGCACAGAUAUUCACAGUGUCGGUUUAUAUACUGAUGCGCUGUUUCAGUUUUUUUUUUUUUUCAUUAACAUAACUUUUAUUGCAUAAACGUGGUAAAUUAGUUUGAAUACAGGCAGAGAAAUGCAACUAGGGACACAAAUGUAUUUUGUGGAUGUAAAACAUACAUGCCUACCCCAACUC